UAGGGAAUCUUCCGCAAUGGACGCAAGUCUGACGGAGCAACGCCGCGUGAGUGAUGAAGGAUUUCGGUUCGUAAAACUCUGUUGUUAGAGAAGAACAGCGCAUAGAGUAACUGUUAUGCGUGUGACGGUAUCUAACCAGAAAGCCACGGCUAACUACGUGCCAGCAGCCGCGGUAAUACGUAGGUGGCAAGCGUUGUCCGGAUUUAUUGGGCGUAAAGCGAGCGCAGGCGGUCAAUUAAGUCUGAUGUGAAAGCCCCCGGCUCAACCGGGGAGGGUCAUUGGAAACUGGUUGACUUGAGUGCAGAAGAGGAGAGUGGAAUUCCAUGUGUAGCGGUGAAAUGCGUAGAUAUAUGGAGGAACACCAGUGGCGAAGGCGACUCUCUGGUCUGUAACUGACGCUGAGGCUCGAAAGCGUGGGUAGCAAACAGG
rnacentral:rRNA from 1 species